AAUUGUAACUUAGUUUUGAAAGGGUCACCAUGGAAGUUUACGAAAUAGUUUCCUUCGGAAGUUUUGCUGAAGCAGGGGUCUGAGUCUUUCGUUUUUGAGACAGCACAGGAAGGGUAGGUCAGUGUAAGUGUGGGUGUGUUUAUGGGGGAGGGAGGGCUGCUGCUGACCAAUUAGGACACUUCUCAUGGGCCCUCCCUUGUGAUACAACCAAACCCGAUUCCCAGAGUGAAAACAGAAACUAGGGAAGAGAAGCUUCCCUGCUUCAUUCUCCAGAUUUGGGUGGAGUCUUGAUCAUUCUGGCAAACUUACCUGCAGAAGCAAUCCUCGUUUCCCCCUUCCACUCCGCCACAAGUGAUUUCUUCUCAUUGCCAGUUUCAAGAGAGACAGGUUGGCUCCUAGCAGCAGCACUCUAUCUCUAUUUCCUCCAAAGAAGACAGAAGACAAAUGGGCACAGAACAACGUCCAUCCGCAAUUUACUUCAUCAAGUAAAAGUGCUAACCACUGGACAAAACUGCCUUUCAUCUAAACUGAAGAUCUUUAGACGUGGACAAAGAAUCAAAUGGCAUCAACUUACCUAGCUGCUCAGGUCAAGGUAAGCUUGUCUUCCUACAGAUUUUUCUAAUCCACAGAAUCUUCUAAAACCUGGCAGGCCAGGUUCUAAACAGUAAAAGGCAAAUACAACCCUCAACGACCAUGGAGGACCCUGAGGAGAGGCUCUAGGUAGACAACCGGGUAAGUUCUCUAUCAUUUUUUAAUCAAUAACUCCUCAAAUAAAAUUUUAUCCUUCUCAAAGGUCUCUGAUGCAGUUUGAAAGCUGAGAAGUUUUGUCAGUUGAAAAGGACAACCUCACCAAAUAAACUUCAGUACAACUUCUUAACAAAUACAAGUUAUUAAGGUCCAAGAGACACAAAUCUUGGAUAGGAGUAAAGCGACCAGCUACCCCAGGAUGUGACCAGCACCCAGCUAUCUCAGGCCCCCUCCAAGAAAAACUUCGACACACACAAAUAAGCAGGAAGCAGUUUUGAGACUCCGCUGUCCCGAUUCCUUCAAUUUGCUAUGUCUAACUCCCCGCCUUUUUAUUAUAAGAAAAAGAUGGGACUGCUGGAAUCUGCUGGCCUGGCCUGUCACCUGGGUACCCUGUCCCUUUAAGAGGCAAGCCCCGCUCACUCCCAACCUCCUGAUUCUGCCAAGGCUAGUAGCUCUCUCUCUUCUCCUCCCUUCUCCCCUUUCCCCCACGUCCCUUUUCCCUAAAUAAACUCUAUACCCAAACUCCCUCUGCCUGGCAUACCUACCUGUCUCCUGCUGAGGCCUCGGGUGAUCCACUGCCACCCCUCUUGGGACGGGUCCCCCACUACCUCUUUAUAAAUGGUAACAGUCCUUCCCACUGAACCUCCUUCCCAGCAUUAAUAACCCCCUUGCCACAUUAAGGCUCUUUCCCACCCAGCGUCACCUAGCUUGUGCUUUAAGUAGCAUAUAAUACCAUUGACCAUGAAAAAUUGA